GCUAUCCGCCCGGGAACUUACGAGCACUAGCUUAAAACCCAAAGGACUUUGGCGGUGCUUUAGAUCCACCUAGAGGAGCCUGUUCUAGAACCGAUAACCCCCGUUAAACCUCACCCUCCCUUGUUCUUCCCGCCUAUAUACCGCCGUCGUCAGCUUACCCUAUGAAGGACCCACAGUAAGCAGAACUAGUACAACUCAAAACGCCAGGUCGAGGUGUAGCAUAUGAGAGGGGAAGAAAUGGGCUACAUUCCCUACCACAGGGAAUACGAACAAUGUAAUGAAAUAUACAUUAGAAGGAGGAUUUAGCAGUAAGCAGAAAAUAGAGCGUUCCGCUGAAACCGGCCCUGAAGCGCGCACACACCGCCCGUCACUCUCCCCAAGCCAACCAACACCCCAUAAAUAAUACAUUUUACCGGUAAAGGGGAGGCAAG
rnacentral:rRNA from 1 species